rnacentral:rRNA from 1 species
UGGCGGACGGGUGAGUAACGCGUGGGGAACCUGCCCUGUACCGGGGGAUAGCAGCCGGAAACGGCUGAUAAUACCGCAUAAGCGCACGAAUGUCGCAUGACAUGGUGUGAAAAACUCCGGUGGUAUAGGAUGGACCCGCGUCUGACUAGCCUGUUGGUGGGGUAAAAGCCUACCAAAGCGAAGAUCAGUAGCCGAGUUGAGAGACUGACCGGCCACAUUGGGACUGAGACACGGCCCAGACUCCUACGGGAGGCAGCAGGU